rnacentral:rRNA from 1 species
AUUUGCGCAGGAUAGGUGGGAGGCGUUGAUGGUGUCCUUGCGGGGAUAUCGGAGCCAUUGGUGAGAUACCACUCUUGUAAAGCUAGAAUUCUAACCUUAUACCGUUAUCCGGUUAGGGAACAGUCUCAGGUGGGCAGUUUGACUGGGGCGGUCGCCUCCUAAAAGGUAACGGAGGCGUACAAAGGUUUCCUCAGAUCGGUCAGAAAUCGAUCGUAGAGCGUAAAGGCAUAAGGAAGCUUGACUGCGAGACCUACAAGUCGAGCAGAGACGAAAGUCGGUCUUAGUGAUCUGACGGUUCCGAGUGGAAGGGCCGUCACUCAACGGGUAAAAGUUACUCUAGGGAUAACAGGCUGA